rnacentral:rRNA from 1 species
AGUAACACGUGGGUAACCUGCCCGGAAGUGGGGAAUACCUCGGGGAAACUCGAGCUAAUACCGCAUGACAUCUUUGGGACGAAAGUUCUGACGAUCAAAGCGGGGUCGCAAGAUCUCGCGCUACCGGAUGGGCCCGCGCCCGAUUAGCUAGUUGGCGAGGUAAUGGCUCACCAAGGCUUCGAUCGGUAACCGGCCUGAGAGGGCGAUCGGUCACACCGGAACUGAGACACGGUCCGG